CGGACAGCCAGCCGGUCACCCUGUCCAGGGCAGCUCACGAUCUCGUGCAGGCCAGUUCCUCGUACGGCACGCCUUCAGACCUCAGCCCAGUGACACCAUUCUCCUCUGCCAGCUCUGAAUCAGCCGAGGCUUCUAUUUCACGCGCCUCCACGCCCAGUUUCCGCAAGUCGGCAG